AAUAGUUUCUCUUGAGGGGAAACCUUGUUAAGAAGAACAAAAUGCUCUGGAGUAUUUCAAAAUGGUGGGCCUUCCCUACCUCUUGCAGUAGCGGCAGGGGAUUUUCCUCCAAUUUCCUUUGUGAGAACCUGGUGCAAAUCUAGAAGGUAAAACCCCCCAAAAUUCACCCCACCCCAUGAAUGAGUUAUCCAGAGUUUGUUAUUCUCAGAGUUGUCUACUCUGACCCUCCUAACCAAUUCAGUUCUGAUUUCCCUAUCAUGGCAUGGAUUCCUGCAGAGGUUUCAGCUUAUGGAUUUCUGCUUUGCCUAUGACAAAACCAGAUGUCUUGACCUUUCGCUGUUUAUGGUAUUGGCUGUGCUCCUGUAUUGAAGUUCUUCUCAUAAGUCAAUUGUAAGCAGAUUAUUUUGUACAAAAGACUGGAAGCAAUAAACAGUGGGAGUAGUAUGACCUUAUUGAAGGGACAUCAUGGAAAGAAGACAAGUGCCUGUUAAGCAUGGAAACCAGGAAACCUAUCCACAGUUCAUUGUACAGAUACCCAGAUCAUUUGUUGGAAAGCAGAAUGCAGCC